rnacentral:rRNA from 1 species
CACGUAGGGUGCGAGCGUUGUCCGGAAUUAUUGGGCGUAAAGAGCUCGUAGGCGGUCUGUCACGUCGGCUGUGAAAACCCGAGGCUCAACCUCGGGCCUGCAGUCGAUACGGGCAAACUAGAGUACUGCAGGGGAGACUGGAAUUCCUGGUGUAGCGGUGAAAUGCGCAGAUAUCAGGAGGAACACCGGUGGCGAAGGCGGGUCUCUGGGCAGUAACUGGCGCUGAGGAGCGAAAGCGUGGGGAGCGAACAGG